rnacentral:rRNA from 1 species
GAUGAACGCUGGCGGCGUGCUUAACACAUGCAAGUCGAACGGAAAGGCUCCUUCUUGCAGGGGUGCUCGAGUGGCGAACGGGUGAGUAACACGUGGGUGAUCUGCCCUGCACUUCGGGAUAAGCCUGGGAAACUGGGUCUAAUACCGGAUAGGACGAUGGUUUGGAUGCCAUUGUGGAAAGUUUUUUCGGUGUGGGAUGAGCUCGCGGCCUAUCAGCUUGUUGGUGGGGUAAUGGCCUACCAAGGCGUCGACGGGUAGCCGGCCUGAGAGGGUGUACGGCCACAUUGGGCCUGAGAUACGGCGCAGACUGCUACGGGAGGCAGCAGUGGGGAAUAUGGCACAAUGGGCGCAAGCCUGAUGCAGAGACGCCGCGUGGGGGAUGACGGCCUUCGGGUUGUAAACUCCUUUCGCUAGGGACGAAGCGCUAGUGACGGUACCUGGAGAAGAAGCACCGGCUAACUACGUG